rnacentral:rRNA from 1 species
UGGGGAAUAUUGCACAAUGGGGGAAACCCUGAUGCAGCGACGCCGCGUGAGCGAUGAAGGCUUUCGAGUCGUAAAGCUCUGUCCUAUGGGAAGAUAAUGACGGUACCAUAGAAGAAAGCCCCGGCUAAUUACGUGCCAGCAGCCGCGGUAAUACGUAAGGGGCGAGCGUUGUCCGGAAUUAUUGGGCGUAAAGAGUGCGUAGGCGGCAAAUUAAGUCAGAUGUGAAAACUAAGGGCUCAACCCAUAGAUUGCAUCUGAAACUGAUAUGCUUGAGUCAAGGAGAGGAAAGUGGAAUUCCUAGUGUAGCGGUGGAAUGCGUAGAUAUUAGGAGGAAUACCGGUGGCGAAGGCGACUUUCUGGACGAAAACUGACGCUGAGGAACGAAAGCGUGGGUAGCAAACAGG